CAGCCGUAAACUAUGCGCGUUAGGUGUACUGGUGACCACGAGUCACCGGGGUGCCGAAGGGAAACCGUGAAACGUGCCGCCUGGGAAGUACGGUCGCAAGGCUGAAACUUAAAGGAAUUGGCGGGGGAGCGCCACAACGGGUGGAGCCUGCGGUUUAAUUGGACUCAACGCCGGAAAUCUCACCGGAUAGGACAGACAUAUGAUAGUCGGGCUGAAGACUCUACUUGAUGAUCUGAGAGGAGGUGCAUGGCGUCAGUGACU
rnacentral:rRNA from 1 species